GCUGGGAUGAAACAUGAUGAAAACAAAGAACUCUUGACAAACGGCUGAAGAUUGCAAGAUCCAACUCUGAUUUCUCCCAGUU
rnacentral:snoRNA from 1 species